UACGUAGGGGGCAAGCGUUGUCCGGAUUUAUUGGGCGUAAAGAGCGUGUAGGCGGCCACACAGGUCAGCUGUGAAAACUCGAGGCUCAACCUCGAGACGUCGGUUGAAACCGUAUGGCUAGAGUCCGGAAGAGGAGAGUGGAAUUCCCGGUGUAGCGGUGAAAUGCGCAGAUAUCGGGAAGAACACCUAUGGCGAAGGCAGCUCUCUGGGACGGUACUGACGCUGAGACGCGAAAGCGUGGGGAGCGAACAGG
rnacentral:rRNA from 1 species